GCGGCCGCCUUCGGAGCGCCGCCCUCCUCCCGAAACCGGCCGGGGCGAGUGGCUGCAAGAAGCUGCGGUUUGGCCCGCGGGAGAGGGGGGCUUCCCCGCUGGGGUUGUCUGACGCGAACGCCUUCCUGGCCCCAGCCAGGCGCCCUGAGAGAGCUAAUGCUGGCAGCUGUUGGGAUGUCCUCUUCCAGGAAUGGUGAUGAGUUUCCCUGGAUCCAGCCCUGGCUUGGCUGAGAUGAUGAAGGUUUAAGAAGCAGCAUCAUCAGCGAACUGUGUUUUGAAGAUUUGAGGGAAGGGCUGACCUCAGGAUUUUAUACUAGGUAUUUGAUGCAAUGCAGACUGGAAUCCUCCCCACAAGGAUGCCCUGGCCUGAGUGGCACAGAGAUCAAUGCAGCAGUCAUUUCCUGGGCGGGGAAAGCCCAUCCACAGUGGCCCUGGAAUGAUGCUGGUCUUACCUUCUAUUCCUAGGAAGGCCCUAUCUCAAGUGGCUCUGGUCCAUGCAAACAGAUGGAAACGGGUGUGGGGAAGCACAGGCCUCCUACUCAUGUUAAGAGAGCUGCUCAGAGGCAGGAAUCCAGAACCAGGAAUGUCCCCAGUGGCUGCCCAAGGUACAAGUGGCAGGCAGCGGGGAGAAUGGCAUGUGAAGUCAUUUGUAACCUGGCCCCAGCUUGGUUUCCAAGUCUCAGAGGAGAUUAUGGAUAUGGUAGUGCCUGGCUCAGUGCUUAAAAUCCAUUCUCCUGCUAUUUCCCUCACCUACACUCAGCCCCACAAGCCGAGAUGUUUGCUGGACAUUUCAGGCACUGCCACCCAGUUCUGUCUACCUUACCUGCUAACACCUGUUGACCAUCCUUCAUGUGAAGGCUUCCCCAAAUACUUCCCAAUCAAAACACUAAAAGGCAGACCUGAAAUUAAUAAAAAUGUUAAUUAAAUCUGUA
rnacentral:lncRNA from 1 species